rnacentral:tRNA from 1 species
GACUCCGGGGCGCAAUGGUACCGCGUCUGACUCCAGAUCAGAAGGUUGCGUGUUCAAAUCACGUCGGGGUCA